GACUACAGGGGUAUCUAAGCCCGUUCGCUACCCACGCUUUCGCACAUGAGCGUCAGUUCAAUGCCAGGAUGCCGCUUUCGCCACUGGUGUUCUUCCCGAUAUCUACGCAUUCCACCACUACACCGGGAAUUCCGCAUCCCUCUCAUUGCCUCAAGCCAUUCAGUUUCCAACGGCUUCUCCCGGUUAAGCCAGGAGAUUUCACGUCGAACUUGAACAGCCGCCUGCGUGCCCUUUACGCCCAGUAAUUCCGGAUAACGCUCGACACCUACGUAUUACCGCGGCUGCUGGCACGUAGUUAGCCGUGUCUUAUUCCUAGGGUACCGUCCUUCCUCUUCCCCCAGAAAAGAAGUUUACAACCCGAAAGCCUUCAUCCUUCACGCGGCGUUGCUGCAUCAGGGUUUCCCCCAUUGUGCAAUAUUCCUCACUGCAGCCCCCCGUAGG
rnacentral:rRNA from 1 species